AAGCGUGCGCAGGCGGUUUUGUAAGUCAGAUGUGAAAUCCCCGAGCUCAACUUGGGAACUGCGUUUGAAACUACAAGACUAGAAUAUGUCAGAGGGGGGUAGAAUUCCACGUGUAGCAGUGAAAUGCGUAGAGAUGUGGAGGAAUACCAAUGGCGAAGGCAGCCCCCUGGGAUAAUAUUGACGCUCAUGCACGAAAGCGUGGGGAGCAAACAGGAUUAGAUACCCUGGUAGUCCACGCCCUAAACGAUGUCUACUAGUUGUUGGUGGAGUAAAAUCCAUGAGUAACGCAGCUAACGCGUGAAGUAGACCGCCUGGGGAGUACGGUCGCAAGAUUAAAACUCAAAUGAAUUGACGGGGGCCCGCACAAGCGGUGGAUUAUGUGGAUUAAUUCGAUGCAACGCGAAAAACCUUACCUGGCCUUGACAUGUAACGAACUUUCCAGAGAUGGAUUGGUGCUCGAAAGAGAGCGUUAACACAGGUGCUGCAUGGCUGUCGUCAGCUCGUGUCGUGAGAUGUUGGGUUAAGUCCCGCAACGAGCGCAACCCUUGCCAUUAAUUGCCAUCAUUUAGUUGGGCACUUUAAUGGGACUGCCGGUGACAAACCGGAGGAAGGUGGGGAUGACGUCAAGUCCUCAUGGCCCUUAUGGCCAGGGCUUCACACGUAAUACAAUGGUCGGUACAGAGGGUUGCCAAGCCGCGAGGUGGAGCCAAUCCCAGAAAGCCGAUCGUAGUCCGGAUUGUAGUCUGCAACUCGACUACAUGAAGUCGGAAUCGCUAGUAAUCGCGGAUCAGCAUGUCGCGGUGAAUACGUUCCCGGGCCUUGUACACACCGCCCGUCACACCAUGGGAGUGGGUUUUACCAGAAGUAGGUAGUCUAACCUUUCGGGAGGACGCUUACCACGGUAGUAUUCAUGACUGGGGGUGAAGUCGUAACAAGGUAA
rnacentral:rRNA from 1 species